GUCGAGCGGUAACAGGCGUAGCAAUACGUGCUGACGAGCGGCGAACGGGUGAGUAACGCUUCGGAAUCUGCCCAAUGGUGGGGAAUAACCAGCCGAAAGGUUGGCUAAUACCGCAUGAGCCCUACGGGGGAAAGCGGGGGAUCGCAAGACCUCGCGCCGAUGGAUGAGCCGAAGCCGGAUUAGCUAGUUGGUAGGGUAACGGCCUACCAAGGCGACGAUCCGUAGCUGGUCUGAGAGGACGACCAGCCACACUGGGACUGAGACACGGCCCAGACUCCUACGGGAGGCAGCAGUGGGGAAUAUUGGACAAUGGGGGAAACCCUGAUCCAGCGACGCCGCGUGUGUGAAGAAGGCCUGCGGGUUGUAAAGCACUUUUAGUGGGGAUGAAAAGCUCAGGGCUAACACCUCUGGGUCUUGACCUAACCCACAGAAAAAGCACCGGCUAACUCUGUGCCAGCAGCCGCGGUAAUACAGAGGGUGCGAGCGUUAAUCGGAAUUACUGGGCGUAAAGCGUACGUAGACGGUUGGAUAAGUCGGAUGUGAAAGCCCCGGGCUCAACCUGGGAAUGGCAUUCGAGACUGUGCAGCUAGGGUGCGGAAGAGGGAAGCGGAAUUUCCGGUGUAGCGGUGAAAUGCGUAGAUAUCGGAAGGAACACCAGUGGCGAAAGCGGCUUCCUGGUCCAGCACCGACGUUCAGGUACGAAAGCAUGGGGAGCAAACAGGAUUAGAUACCCUGGUAGUCCAUGCCAUA
rnacentral:rRNA from 1 species